rnacentral:sRNA from 1 species
CCUCAACAACCCACAAUGGGUUUGUGCCCGUCUCGCCGCGCCGUCCUCCUCGGAGGUUCGGUCGUAGCUUGAGAUGGGUACACCGGCUAGAUGGAUGCAUCACCUUCUCACCCUGCGCUUGAGCACUUCCUUGUGUCGUGGUCGCGCAGACGAGAGGGAACUUCUGUAUGGUGUUGAUCCCGUCGACAAACCCUCGAUUGACGGAUCCCAUUCCAUGUUGAUGUUCGCCUUCGGGCUGAGCUCCAUGGGUGGGUGACGGGGCGUUAUAUUCCUACUCCUUCCGUGCGUGCUCCCUGGAGUUUUGCGGUUGGGAAAAACCAUAUCGGCCACAAACC